rnacentral:rRNA from 1 species
UACGAAGGGGGCUAGCGUUGCUCGGAAUUACUGGGCGUAAAGCGUGCGUAGGCGGUUCGCUGUGUCCGAUGUGAAAGCCCCGGGCUUAACCUGGGAAUGGCAUUGGAAACUGGCGGGCUUGAGUGCGGCAGAGGGGGUGGAAUUCCGGCGUGUAGCAGUGAAAUGCGUAGAGAUGCGGAGGAACACCGAUGGCGAAGGCAGCCCCCUGGGUCGACACUGACGCUCAGGCACGAAAGCGUGGGGAGCAAACAGG